rnacentral:rRNA from 1 species
GGGACUAACGCUGGCGGCGUGCCUAACACAUGCAAGUCGAACGAGGGGUAGCAAUACCCCUAGUGGCAGACGGGUGAGUAACACGUAGUCAACCUACCUCUUAAUGGGGGAUAACUAGCCGAAAGGUUAGCUAAUACCGCAUACGAUCGUCGAGUGGCAUCACACGACGAUGAAAGGAGCAAUCCGUUGAGAGAGGGGACUGCGUCCCAUUAGUUAGUUGGUGGGGUAAUGGCCUACCAAGACUCCGAUGGGUAGCUGGCUUGAGAGAGCGACCAGCCACACUGGAACUGAGACACGGUCCAGACUCCUACGGGAGGCAGCAGUGAGGAAUUUUCCGCAAUGGGGGAAACCCUGACGGAGCGACGCCGCGUGUGGGAAGAAGGCCUUCGGGUCGUAAACCACUGUCGAGGGGGACGAGUAUUGACGGUACCCUGGAGGAAGCCCCGGCUAACUACGUGCCAGCAGCCGC